rnacentral:rRNA from 1 species
UUAGGGCCGGGCGGUCAGGCACUUCGUUUGGGACGGAGAUUAGUUAUGUUCGAUUCAUAAUAAUCCGAAUAUUAGAACAUUUAGAAAUAAAAAUAAGAUAUAUAAAUUAUACUUAUUAGCUUUAACAAGUAAUGUAAGUAUGUAAAGAAAUUAUUAUGCAAUUCUAGCUAUGUAUUAAGGAGAGCAAAUUUGAUAUAAAAAGGAAUAUUAUAUAUUUCUAGUUAAUAAGCUCUAGAAUAAAUUUAAUAAUAAACGAAGUGAAGUGAAAUAUCUCAGUAACUUCAGGAAAAGAAAUCAAAAGAGAUUCUAUGAAUAGCGUGAGCGAAAGUAGAUAAGUCUAUUAAGUAAAAUGGUUUAUAAACUGUUUGAACGGGGAACCUUCCUCAAAGACUAAAUAUGAUACAUAAGCGAUAGAUAAUGGGCCGUGAGGUAAUUAGAAGUUAGUAGUAAUUUUAUAAGCAGUUCUAAUAAAUUUAGUUUAAAGAACGUACCUUUUGCAUAAUGGGUCACCAAGUUAACAUUAGAUGCGAGAAAAUUUCGUAGUUAAACCAAACAUUAAAAUAACGAUUAGUGUCUAAAGUUAGACCCGAAGCCUAGUGAUUUUACUAUGAUCAGGAUUAUAAAAGUCCGAACGGGUGAUUGUGGCAAAAAUCUCCGAAGAAUCGUGGUAGGUAUAGUGAAAGACAAUACUGACUAGGAUAGCUGGUUUUCUGCGAAACCUAUAACAGUAGGCAAUUUAAGUAAAUAUCUUAGCAGGUACAGAAUUUAAUCUCAGGCAGUGAUAUAUUGCGCAAAUUGGGGAAUCGUGAAGAUUUUAUCAGUGAGUAUGUAGACUCGGAAUGGCAAAGAUAUAUCUUGAAUGAUCAGACAUAGAAUGAUAAGGUUGUAUGUCAAAAGGGAAACAGCCCAGAACAAGAGUUAAGGUUCCUAAAUUAUUUGUUAAGUGAAAGUAAGAAAGUUUUUAUUAAAGUCGACAAGGAGAUAGGCUUAGAAGCAGCCAUAAUUUUAUGACCUCGUAACAGAGCGCUUGUUAAGUUAUAAAAGCAUCGAAAAUAUAACGGAUCUAAACAAUAUACCGAAACCUUGUCCAUAAAUUAAUGCAGAGAUUCUUGCAUAUUUAUGGGGUAGCAGAACGUUGAAUUAGGCUAAAUAGCAAGUUUAUAAAUUUGUUAUGUUAAUUCAAGUGAGAAUGGUGACAUGAGUAACGAAAAGAAUAGUAGAUUUUGGCAAUUUUUUUCUUAGUAGUAGCCUAGUAAGCUAUAAAAAUACAAAGAAUAAUUAUCUAAAUACAUUAAAUAAUAGAUCUUAUUUAGUGCUUACAAGAUCUACUAUCCGCCUAAAGCUUAUGGUUAGAAUUAAGUAACGGCCUCUAAGCUUUUUAUCUAAAGAUGGAAGCGAUGAGAAAAUCUUUUAUUAUGAGACGACAUUUAUCUAGUGACAAAUGUACAGGAAAUAUCAUGAUAUAGUAACCGUACCUAGAAACCGACUACGGUAAGCUAGUAGAGUAUACGAAGGCGUAAUUGAGAUAACAAUCAUAAAGGAACUCGGCAAAUUGACUAUCGUAACUUCGGGAUAAGUAGGGCUCAUUAUUCUUGAUUAAUAUCAGGUAAAGAGGAAGAAACAUAAAAUAAUGUUGUACGACUGUUUAAUUAAAACACAGCACUUUGCUUAAAGAUUAAAAAUCUAUGUAUAAAGUGUGAUAUCUGCCCGGUGCCGGCAGGCUAACAGAGAUGAUUGAAUAUAUUACUGUUUGAUAUUGACGGAAGCCCCGGUUAAAGGCGGCCUUAACGUGAGGGUCCUAAGGUAGCGAAAUGCCUUGGCCGUUAAAUGCGGUCUUGCAUGAAUGGUGUAACGAUACAACAGCUGUCUCUAUGAUUGACUCAGUGAAAUUGGAAUAGCUGUGCAGAUACAGCUUACCACUAGUUAGACGAGAAGACCCUUUGCAGCUUUACUGUUACUAAUGAUAGAUUUUGAUGAAAAAUUUUCAGACUAGAAGGGAAUUGAUUAAAUAUAUAUGAGAAACCUUUAUUUUGAUUCUUCAUUUGAAUGAAUUGAUAUACCUACAAGCGUUAGUAUAUCAUCCUAGUUCAGCCUAUGUUCUUAGUUUACUAAGAAAUAGGUAACCUUGGAAAGGAACUAUUACUAGGAGACAGUUUAUGUGGGGCACAGACCCUGUAAAGAGUAAACAGGUGUGUCUAAUAAUUAUUUUUAUUUUGUUUGCUAUUUUUAUAUAAAUCAUAUUCACUUUGAUAUAAUUCUAGUGUAGUACUUGGUGGGCUCCGCCUUACAAGUUAUACUAUUAUAUUUAUAUCGAAAAUUUAGGUAAGAUUUUGACUAUACUGAAAUUAGAGAUAAUUUAAAAUUUUAUGUAUUACUUGGUGGUUCCUUUUUAUAGCAAGCUAUAAAAAAUACUACAAGCUUAAUACUAAAGUUUUAUAGUUAUUCGUAUUUAUAUACGAACUAAUUAUGUUUUGAAUAUCUAAAAAGCUCAACGGCUUAAUCUUGCCUUACUGUUUGAUUAUCGACAAAUCUUACAGUUGCGUAAGCAGAGCAUAGGAUCACAAGAUGCAAUAAGGAAAGAUCUUGGAUUAUUGGAAAAGCUACGCUAGGGAUGUUUGUCCUUUAAUCUUUAUUAAAAGAAUUAUUAUAAAUUGGGUAAAUUUCAAGAAUUACUAGUUUUCGCAUUAAUUGUAAACUUGAAGCGAAAUUUAUCUUAGCAUAAUAUAAGAUAAAAACG